AUUAGAUAAGAAAGAUAUAAGGAGGCCUUUGCUUUUCUAUAAGAACUCUACCAUAAACUCCCAGUGAACAAGUUAUAGAAAACAGAAUUGUCCCUUUUAACUAUCUGAAAAUUUUAAAUUGCAAAGAAAGCAAAAGAUCCAAAAAUGAAAAGAAAUGAAAAACCUUCUCAUUUAAAAAUUUCAGCAACAAAAGUUUAUGGGUGAACAUUUGUAUUUAUAGCUAGCUAACAUUUAAUUUACAGCUAGCAUAAUAAAAUCAUUAAGUUGAAGCAUGCAGAACACCAUUUUUCAGGUGUUGCUAAUAAUGCUAAUAGAGGCGUUAUUUAAAUGACCUAGACUACUGAUGUUGAGAGUAUGCCUUCAGAAGUUUAAGUGGGGUUGAUGUGUAGAGCUGAGAUAAAGAGGAGGGUGCUGUAAUGACCUCACAUCAUCUGCAUCUGUCUUCCCAAGACACAAUCAAAAUAACCACAGUGUCAGUGUAGAGAGGCAUUGGUAGAGUCCCAGAAUUAAGUGAGGAACUAUUGUGGCUGACUGCUGGGGGAGGUUCAGUUUUCCUUAGGAUGAGCUAUGCAUACUCUGCAGGUGGUACCACACCCAGCCCAUCCAGGCAGCACUAAGUGAUCUGAGGAAGUUUGAAAAAGCACAGGAAGGGAAAAGUAGUGAGAGCAUAGUGGAGGCAUUGGGGAGAGGGGCACAGGGCCAAAGUGAUCAAGACCCAAUGUGUCCAGGUAUGAAAUCAUUAAAUACCAUCAACAAUAGAGUGUUGAGACAAUGAGAUGCUUAGAGGGUAAAGGUGCCUACCUCCAAGUCUAGCAAUCUUCAUCUCUAUGACCAACAUGGUAGAUGGAUAUCUGACUCCCGAAGCUAUUCCUUAAACUUCCAUACUUGAAAUAUGUGCCCUCUUGUUAUAAAAAUGAGUUAUUUAUUUAUUUAUUUUGCUUUCUAAAAGGAGGGGAGUGUUUCUCUUAUAUUCCAGCACUUGCAUACCUUGAUACAUUUUACUGGAGUCUAUAAAUUCUGUGAAAAUCAAGAUGGACAGUUAACAAUUAGGGCAUGCUGAGUAGGUCUUUGAAUUGGUAGUGAUUUCUCUUUUUGGAUUCAGGGUUUAUGUUAUCAUCCACAACAUAAGCCCAAAAGGAAUUAGGGUGAUUGCCCAUCACCACCCUACCCAGAUCUGUAAGGAUUCUGCUUCAAGGGAACGUGUAGGAGGUGCCGCUCCCUCCCUCCCAGGCCUUCCUUUGUGGUUCUUUCUCUUGCCUUCUUUGCUCCAGAGUUUCACUGUAUGAACUGUUCCUUCUUGAAAACCAUAGAACACCUCCCAUGGCCUAAUUAUGCACUCGUCUUGUGUUUUUCUGCUGUUUGUAUUCCCAUAGUUGCAAAUAAAAAGUAUAUUUUUAGUUUUAGCAUUUUCCUUUCCAUUAAAAAAAAUCCCUGAAGAUUUGUGGCACCACUGUUAUUUCUGUUAAUGGCAUUGCUUCCAUAGCAGCGAGCUACAGCUUUGUACGAAAUCAUGUUUACAGAAAGCAACCUUCUAAGUGAACAUCAGAGCUACAUGUAGAAAAGUUUCAGUUUAGAUCUCUUGUAACUAUCACAACAGCACACACACAUACAUACACGUGUGUGUAUGUGUGUGUGUAUUUUUUAAUUGUAGUUAUACAUUUGAUAUAAUUGACUAGAUCCUCAUAUCUAAAGAAUGACAUCAGGUCUUUGGGUUCUCAUAGCAGAAAAAAAAAAGCAAGCAAACAAAAACAGAUUAAAAACAGGCUACAUGUUCUUGGCCAUAGGAUGUAAAAUAAAUGAGAAUCGACUGGGAUUUAAUCCGAGGAUGAACUUUAAGACAAGUUAGAGGGAGGUUGGAGCACUCUAUUUCUCGUUUCUCCUGACUCUUUUGACUGAAUGUAGAUGUCACAUUGAUCUGCGUGUUCAUUCAGCUUGGAAGGCUUGGUCUCUCAGGUUUUGAGUAGAUGGGCUCGUUGCCUUAGUUCCCUACUUUCUUCAUCCUAUGGCAAAGGCAAAAAUGCCUGUAUGUAUAAUUUGGUCAAACUCAGGACAAAAGGAAAGGAGAAUGCUGUGUUGAGAAAGCAUGCUAAGAUGGCUGCUGCUGCUAUCCGUGGAUGUUCCCCUGUGCCCUGGUAUCACUCAUUUCUUCUGAGAAAUGGAUCCCAACAUCUCCUGGUGGACACAGUCCAUUACACAGGUGAAAGCUAACAAGGAAGUAAAUUUAUUUUCCUAUGGUAUUUUCAAGCAAUACUCAGUAUGAAAUCAUCAGAUGCAGCAACCACAGAACUCAGAUGCCACUGUGAGAAUCACGGGCAGUGAAGGGAUGGGGCAGCUUCCGCCAUCCUCCUGAGCACUUACAGUUGCAUGGGAAACACAGCCAGGAAUCCACCGUGAAAUGGAUGGCUGCACAUAACUGGAGCAGUGUGACACAGACGCUCACAACUGUGUUGUAUAAUCAAGGGCAGGAAGGGCCAGUGCCACUAGGUUCGGCUAGCCUGUCAAGGCUGAAUCCUCGUGAGCCUCUUUAGGACCAGAAGGCUGUAACUUAGUGAGGGCAAUAGUGGGCUUCGGCUUCAUCUGGCAAAAUAGCGGCAUCAUAAAAUCAAAUCUCCACCACAGAAAUUAAAAAUCUCACCCCCUUUAUGUUCAUCAGAGGAGCCCUACAAAAGCAGUGAGAACUUAUAAUUCACCUCUCAGAUGCCUAGCUGAACCGUUUUAGUUUCUCCAGCCAUUUUCAAUUCUGUGUUCUUUUCUGGAAAAUGAUCUCCUCAG
rnacentral:lncRNA from 1 species